ensembl:lncRNA
AUUAAACAUUAAAAGGUUGUAAAACAUUUUAAAAGAAAAACCUUAAAGAUUUAAUCGAAAAAUUAAAUAUUGGGAAAGGAAAAAAAAUUCAAACAAGCCGAUAAAACACUUGAAAAAACAAUUAAACAUUAAAAAGACAAAACAUUUCAAAAUCAGAUCAGACAUUAGAAAAGAAUAAAAGGUGAGAAAAGAGCAAAACUAAACAUUUAAGAAGAAUCAAACUAAAGAUAAAACCUUUGAAAAGACACCAGUUAGACUUUAGAAGAUCAAAUUAAACAGAAGAGACAAUAAAACGAUCAAAAAGAGCAAAAACAGAUAAAGGUCUUAAAGCGUUUUCUAGUCUGAAAUGAAAACAUCAACUUGUUUCUUCAAACAUUUCCUCUUUCUAUGUUCUUGGUUUGAUUGUAGACAGAUUUCCUAAGUGCUCAUUUCAGAAAACUGCUUUCCAGAUAAAGUCUACUAGUAGUUGAAGGCAUCGAUCAAACUAAUGUUACCUUCUGAUCUCCACAAACUUUACUGUUCAGUGAAGAGAAUCAAAGUUUGUUGAGGAUUUCUAAAAAACCCACAGGUGAAGGUCCGAGAAGAACUCAGAUCGAUGGUCUAAAUGUGAAAUCAAGACUCAUGGUCACAAGUUUUAAGGCUUCUGUUAACCAGAAAGUUCAAACUAACAGAGAAGUACUGAGAAACCUUUAAGAUUUCAGUCCUCAGACUGUCUAAAGGUUCAAACUAAAAGAGAACUACUCAAGAACUUUUAUGAUUUCAGUCCUCAAACUGUCAAAAGGUUCAAACUAACAGAGAAGUACUCAGGAAAUUAGAAGAUAUCAGUCCUUGGACCGUCUGAAAGUUAAAUCUAACAGAGAACUACUCAGGAACUGAGAAGAUAUCAGUCCUCAGACUGUCUGAAGGUUCAAACUAACAGAGAACUACUGUGGGACUUAGAAAAUUUCAGCCCUCAGACUGUCUGAAAGUUCAGGUCUUGAGGACUUGGGAGGUCUGGAGGCUUUGGAAAGUCUUGGAACUAAGGGUUCAAACCUCCAGCACAAAGGCUGAAGUCCAACCUCCUGAGAAAAACAGUCGAGACGAGACUCGAGUUAAAAAAAAAAAAACAACUCGAAAACGACAAAAAAUAGAUGAUAAAUGCGCAAAAAAAAGAUGAUUUAGUAUCUGAGCAAGUAGCUCAGGGGAUAAGAAGAAAGACUACCAAGUGGAAGGUAACAGGUUCAAGACCCACCACUGGCCUUUUUCUUUGUUUGUCUUUGUCAGGAUUUUGAUAAAAAUUUAAGAAGGGUCUGGUCUUGAACCAGCAACCUGCAGCUCCACCGGCAAAUCCUUAACUCACUGAGCUACAGAAUGAAACAAUUUCGUCGUCCCUUUGUCAUCGUAGUUUCCAAGUGACCACAUGGGCGGAGCC